UUUUUUAUUUAUUUUAUUUUUAUUUACCUCGUUUGCAGUUUUCUCUUAUCCCCCCCAUGCUUGAAUCCUACUUCCUGGUUUAUCAUGUGACCGCUGUCCUGUUAUGCCUUAGGGCAGUGAGAUGUGCCCUGACAUCAGCAUUAAGAUUUCAGGUACUGGAACAGGUGAAGAGACCUAGACGGGGUGGCGAUAUAAAAAUAUACGCAGAGAAGUGUAUUGGAUCCAUACCCUGGGCACAUUACAACCCAGAGGCCUGAAUAGAGAACAGCAAAUCAAAGAUGACUCGCUGCAAUCGGAGCGGUAUCAGUAUUUAUGUUUGUAUGUUUUUAAGUAUCUAGCGUGGAUAAAAUAUAUUGUUCUAAUUGAUUGGCAUUCGCAUUAUCACCGCCCCUUUUUGGGUGUUUGACGUCACCACACGUGGCAGAGAGACUGUUAUUUAGGUUUGUGAACUUUGUAUUAAUGUAAGCUGAUGAUGGCUGGAUGGGCCGAAACGCGUCCAUUAUCACAUUAUUGAUGAAUUAAUUAAAUAAAGAGUAUAUGAUUUGAAGAUU